rnacentral:rRNA from 1 species
GAUGCUUUGGUGCCUUCGGGAACUCUGAGACAGGUGCUGCAUGGCUGUCGUCAGCUCGUGUUGUGAAAUGUUGGGUUAAGUCCCGCAACGAGCGCAACCCUUAUCCUUUGUUGCCAGCGGUCCGGCCGGGAACUCAAAGGAGACUGCCAGUGAUAAACUGGAGGAAGGUGGGGAUGACGUCAAGUCAUCAUGGCCCUUACGAGUAGGGCUACACACGUGCUACAAUGGCNUAUACAAAGAGAAGCGACCUCGCGAGAGCAAGCGGACCUCAUAAAGUNNGUCGUAGUCCGGAUUGGAGUCUGCAACUCGACUCCAUGAAGUCGGAAUCGCUAGUAAUCGUNGAUCAGAAUGCNACGGUGAAUACGUUCCCGGGCCUUGUACACACCGA